CCCUUGGUUUGCCAAAUUGCAUCCUUUUUUCCAGCAACAAGAGACUAGAGCCUUUCAUAUGAGAACUGUAGCAAAUAAUGGAACAUUCGGAACUACUUAAACCAUAUUAAAUAGAUAUUUUUCCACAAUCUAUAGAAUUUAAGGUGUUUUUAUAAAUUAGAUGUCUAAUUUUUAAGUAUCAAAUGCAUUUUUGAUGAAAAAAUGUGGUCUGUGGUCUCCUCCACUCCCGCUCGGCCACAGCAGCAGCCUUCACCCCGGCCGCAGCGAGGAGAUGUCCGCAGAAGGGCAGCGCAGACCGUCUCUGCCCCUAAACCUGCCAAGCGUCAGGCCAAGCGGCGUUCCUGAGACGGGCGACCCGGAGUUGAGGAUGUCAGCUCAUCAGGAGAUGGUAGCAGGACCACUCCUUCCCCCGGAAGAGGAGGGCUGGGGGAGAAUCCUUUGUUAUCGUUCUCUUUUUGUUCCGCCACUGGCCCCCCCUCCCAAGAGGCCACAGACGACAGUUGGCGACGUGCUUCCUCGCCGCUCUCGUUCCCUUCUUCCCUUGCCAGUUUCCACGCAGAGCCGGCUUGAGAAUGCAUUGCCUUCUCAUGCCCUCUUUGCCACUCGGAAUCAGACGAGUGCUUGCACUCCGCCCCCGCUAAGGGACGCUAUGCCUCCCAUGCCAGGGCUGUCUGUUCCACCUCGCUGCCCCACUGUGAGUAUGCCUGUAGUUCCCUUGACCCCACUGGAUCGGUUUCUGGGAGCCUGGCUAGAGCUCCCCAGGCUGUCCCGCUGGCUCAUCCGAACGAUCAGGCUCGGCUACGCGAUUCAGUUCGCCUGGCGUCCCCCCAGGUUUUGGGGUGCUCGCGCGAUGAUGGUGGGCAAGGAUGCUCCUGUCAUGCGUGCGGAGGUUGCAACCCUGCUGGCAAAGGGUGGGAUAGAGCCGGUCCCUCCAGUCGACAUGAAGUCCAGCUUUUACAGCCACUACUUCAUAGAACCCAAGAAAACAGGUGGGCUACGGCCAAUCCUGGAAUUGCCUGCCUUGAACCGAGCUCUUCACAGACUUCUGUUCAAGAGGCUAACGCCCAAGCGCAUUUUCGAAUGCAUUCGUCCAUUGGAUUGGUUUGCAGCAAUCGACCUGAAGGACGCGUACUUUCAUGUCUCUAUUCUUCCUCGACACAGACCGUUUCUUCGGUUUGCUUUCGAGGGGCAGGCAUACCAGUACAAGGUUCUCCCAUUCGGGUUGGCCCUGUCUCCCCGUGUCUUUACAAAGGUCGCGGAGGGAGCCCUGGCUCCUCUCAGGGAACAAGGUGUCCGUAUCCUCAACUACCUCAACGGCUGGCUGAUUCUAGCUCACUCUCGAGCGCGGUUGUGCGAGCACAGGGAUCUGGUGCUCAGACACCUCACCCGUCUGGGUCUUCGGGUCAACUGGGAAAAGAGAACCAGUGUCCAGACAUGUUGUUGUGUCAACAGAUGCCUCUGCCACGGGCUGGGGUGCCAUGUGCAACGGGCGUGCUGUGUCAGGUUCCUGGAAAGGACCCCGACUUCAGUGGCAUGUCAAUUGCCUCGAAUUGCUAGCAGUACGGCUUGCUCUGCACCACUCCAGGGCCCUGCUGAAGGACAAGCACGUUCUGGUCCAUACGGACAACACUGCGACCGUAGCGUACAUCAAUCGUCAGGGCGGUCUACGCUCCCGCCGCAUGUCGCAACUCACCCGCCAUCUCCUCUUGUGGAGUCAGAAGCAACAUUCCGGGCAGGCUUUCACGUCAGCAGUCUCGCCACGGGGAAUGGAGACUCCACCCCCAGUCAGUUCAGCUGAUUUGGGAACAAUUCUGAGACUCUCAGGUAGACCUGUUUGCCUCUCCAGAAAAUUCCCACUGCCAGUUGGUUUACUCCCUGACCGAGGGCACCCUUGGCACGGACGCUCUGGUGCAAAAUUCCUAUGAGGAAAGACCUCCUUUCUCAGAGACGGGGCACCCUCUGGCACCCGCGUCCCGAUCUUUGGAACCUACAUGUGUGGGUUUGGGAUGGCUCACGGAAGGUUUGGUACCUUGCCACCUCAGGUGGUAGCUACCAUCACCUCGGCUAGAGCCUUGUCUACCAGACAUGCCUAUGAUCUGAAGUGGAACCUCUUCGUCACCUGGUGUUCUUCACGUCGUGAAGACCCCUGGUGAUGCCUGAUCGAGUCAGUGCUUUCCUUUCUUCAGGAAGGGUUGGAACGAAGGCUGUCUCCUUCCACCCUGAAGGUCUA
ensembl:lncRNA